GCUAAAGAUUGUCCGUGGCUUAGUGAAAACGAUAAGUAUCCCACCUGGGGAGUACGCCGGCAACGGUGAAACUCAAAGGAAUUGACGGGGGCCCGCACAAGUGGUGGAGCAUGUGGUUUAAUUCGAUGAUACGCGAGGAACCUUACCUAGGCUAGAAUGCGCGUGACCGGCUCAGAGAUGAGCCUUUCCUUCGGGACACAAAGCAAGGUGCUGCAUGGCCGUCGUCAGCUCGUGCCGUGAGGUGUUGGGUUAAGUCCCGCAACGAGCGCAACCCCUAUGGUUAGUUGCCAGCACGUAAUGGUGGGGACUCUAGCCAGACUGCCUGCGCAAGCAGUGAGGAAGGCGGGGACGACGUCAGGUCAUCAUGGCCCUUACGCCUAGGGCGACACACGUGCUACAAUGGACGGUACAGCGGGUAGCUACUGGGCGACCAGAUGCCAAUCUCGAAAAGCCGUUCUCAGUUCGGAUCGGAGUCUGCAACUCGACUCCGUGAAGCUGGAAUCACUAGUAAUCGCGCAUCAGCCAUGGCGCGGUGAAUACGUUCCCGGGCCUUGUACACACCGCCCGUCAAGCCAUGAAAGUCUGGUAGACCUGAAGCUGGUGCUCGUCACAGAAGCCAGUUAGGGUAGAACA
rnacentral:rRNA from 1 species